UCACAUGCUACAUACUGAGAGAGGAAACAGCUUAUAUGGGCUCAGUACAGGGGCUGCACUCACUACUCACUGUGACAUGAUGUCUCCUACUGCUCCUCUCCUCUUGGCUUUAGCUUCUCUGUUUGGCAGGAGUUACGGGCAAUCUGCAACCCAACCUGAAACUCACCAUUCUGUGCUCCAAGGAGAAGCUGUUCAGCUAAACUGUACAUAUAAAUCAGCUGUAAACAUUUUCUGGUAUGUUCAGUAUCCAGAUAAAGCUCUGGAGAUACUGCUGUAUAAUUUUGGAGACCAAAUUAAGAAAGGAUUCACAGCUAAAGAUGAGAAAUCGGAUUCAACCUACAACCUACGUAAAGCAGCCGCAGAGCUGAGUGACUCUGGGGUGUAUUUCUGUGCAGUGAGUGGCACAGUGACUUACUUAGGGCUGCUCCCUGUAACAUAACUCCCCCCAUGAGUCCAUGUGACAGUGGCACUUACCUUACCUUAACCUUACUGCAUUUUGUGAAAUGCUGUAUAAACUGCUCAGAUUGGUUUCCCCAACGUUGUUUAUUCAGAGAAUUACCAAUUCACAAAAUGUAUCUCACUAGUUGACAAGCAACUACUAACUGGUUAAAUAUAUGCAUGUUAUCAGUCAAAGUGGUGCACAUCCAGCAAGACUCCAGCACCUUACUCCAGUAUCCAAGGUCAGACAAACAUGUUCUGUCACAACUGAAUCCCAAUGAAUAAGAUCAUUUCAGGCAGAACUGCACACUAUUUAAAAGAGUAACCAUCAUAACAAUAUGAUCUGAUGUUCUUAUUGAAAUGUUUGACAAGAAAACUGCUUAAAAAAUAUACCUGUAGCUCUUUUAGAUCUUUUUAUUCAUAUGUUCUUGUUUGAUGGCAGAGACCAUUUA